CUCUCUCCUGUGCUCCUGCGAAAGCAUCCCUUCCAUUUGGCAAUGUACCCAGAGGAGUCUGCAAAACUGCUAUUAAGGAAGGGCUGUGGAAGGAACUGGUUGAGGAAUGACGUGAGGCUUGAAGGACUGCCUGAGCUGGAGCUUGCAGCCAAACCUCUGUGCCCUGCAGCACCAGUUAGUCCAUCUCCCCGACUCGGGCUGAGUCCUGUUGAAACCUGUUUGUACUGGAGGCCUCCACAUUAUCUGGUGCCAAUGAGUUCCCUGGUUCAAUUAUGUAUGUGAAACAGCACAAAAAUCUUGAAAAAAAUCAGCCAGACGAAAGAGUGCUUAACAACCUGCGUUAGCAGCUGAGAGGGGUUCACAGAUAUAAAGGUGUUGGUUAUAUCUCAAGAUGAGAAGUGUUGCUACUUCUUCUACAUGAAGAACUUUGCUUCAUUUUGCUCUGAGUAGAAAACAAGAGUCUCUGCCUGACUGGUUGCACUGCACUCCUCCCUUUCCCUCCUUUGCCAAGAUGUGUCUGUAGGCAUGCUCCCCAAGCUAUUUUAAAGACAGGCUGGCACUAAGGCACUCACAGUCAAAGGAGAGAAAAAAGAUGAAGACAGAUAUUUGCUCUUUGCUGGCAGGGGACAGCAAGCCACUGGAAAAGUGUCCCUUUGGAGGAUAAGAGAGACUCUUCCUCUUUGGCUGGCAGAGUAACACACACAGCUCCCAGCUCUCCAAAGGGAAAACAACUGCCUGUAGGCGCAAUAUUCUGUUCAUGGGGGAAACAGAGAAGCUUUGCCUUGAAUCUUGCAGGACAAUUUGUUGCCUGAAAGGAUCCACCGAGAUGCAACAAGCUCUGUUUAGAAACGGACAUAUCCAGCCUGGAGCAUGGGGAGACAGUAAAGCAUCUGUUUGACUUCCUCAACGGGUUUACUGUGUGUAAAUCAUUUAUCCCUGCUCCUGCUCCCCUUCCUUGACUCUCACAAUUUGUAUUUUUGUGUUAAAAAAAGCGACGCCUGCCUUUCUGUUGGUGAGCAGCUUGGGACACAUUGCCUGGAGUCUGACCUCAAAGUAGGGUGGGAUUUGAAUCUGAAAUCCACUCAGUUUGAUCUCCCAAGAACUGCCGCGCUGCACAGCUUGUACAUCUUUAGUAAAAGGCAAGCCUUCAAAUCCAUCCUUUUCAGAGGCCUGUCUCUGUUGUCAGCUGCCAUCUUUUGAGAGAAAGAUCUAAAAUUAGAGAAAAGCUGCCCUCCACUGCUGGAGAAUACCGCUGCUGUGACAUAUGAAAGCAGAAAUAAGCUUCAAAUAAAGGUCUUCUGCUUAGGCUCACGUAACGAGCAAGAAAGGCUUUGGGUCUUUCCUGUCCAGACCGGCAUUUGUGGGGAUCUGAUUUAAAUAGGCAGCCACAGCACCAACGCUUAUCUUUGUCUGCCUAAGCGU